rnacentral:rRNA from 1 species
UAAGGAAUAUUGGACAAUGGGCGAAAGCCUGAUCCAGCCAUGCCGCGUGCAGGAAGACGGCCCUACGGGUUGUAAACUGCUUUUGUAAGGGAAUAAUAAGGCGAACGGGUUUCGCUGAUGAAGGUACCUUACGAAUAAGCAUCGGCUAACUCCGUGCCAGCAGCCGCGGUAAUACGGAGGAUGCAAGCGUUAUCCGGAUUUAUUGGGUUUAAAGGGUGCGUAGGCGGCCUGUUAAGUCAGGGGUGAAAGGUUGCGGCUUAACCGCAGAAAUGCCUUUGAAACUGGCAGGCUUGAAUAAAGUUGAGGUAGGCGGAAUGUGGCAAGUAGCGGUGAAAUGCAUAGAGAUGCCACAGAACACCGAUUGCGAAGGCAGCUUACUAAGCUUUGAUUGACGCUGAGGCACGAAAGCGUGGGGAUCAAACAGG